rnacentral:misc_RNA from 1 species
GUUUCAGUUCACUUCUGGCUCUCGUGCAAAGCGCAUCGUACAGCGGAUAUAUCGCAUCUGUAUCGUAUCGUAAAACGAAUCGUAUUCGCAUCCGUGUCGGUCGCAUCUGCGUGCUGGUGUGUGUGAGUGUGCCCGGGUGUGUGUGAGUUGGUGUGUCCGCUGCAAUGGUCUUGGCUAUUUGAAGCGCAAAAGUGCAGUAUUUACUGUUUGGUGAAUCACUCACUCAUUAGAAUACCCAAGAGAUAACUAUCAUAUCUUGGGGUUUUCCCAACGAACCGAUCCGAUAAAAUCGAAACCCUGUAACUCAUGCUCCCCCGCCUUGAAAAUCGGUUCAGUGAUUUACGUGUGGGUGUGGGUGCAGUGCUUAAAUUAUACACGUAAAAUUUAAACAAAUAAAGGCAGUUAAAAGAUCGUAAACUCGAGAUCCAGCUAGUGCCGAAUUCAGUGCUAAAGUGAAACUUCUUUGUGCAAACAACAAAAAACGUUAAUUGCCAGCGCCAUUCUUUUAAAGGCCCCGACUUAAAAAGAGUGUUUUCAGUGCCUAUAUGGUUUUACUUAAGUCUUUUGUUUAUCGUUUUACCCAUAUUGUUGUCAGUUUAUCAAUAUAUAUAGAUAAUUACCUGAAUGGAGGAGCUUUGUUAAUUGAUAUAACUAGCCUUAGGCAUUAAAGUUCCUAUCUCAUAGGUGCAAGUCAUAAAACCAAUCCCCUUUCACUUUAUACAGAUCAGAAUCCAAGGAUUAGGUCGCUUAUUCUUUUUCCAAAGUAUUAAACAAUUAAAUGGCGCGGAGUUGUUGGUCGCAAAGUUUCCAUUGCCCGAUGCAGAGUCCCAAAACCAAAAUAAACGGAACCCUUUCACUUUAAAAUCCACAGAACCCCCAAAGAUCGAAAACGAGUUUCGCAAAAGAGCAAAGAGCCGAGCGGCCAUGCUUAUAUUCCAUAUCGAAUAACUGAAUAGCCGACCAAUAAAGUGUUACUUGGCACAUUCAACAUCCAACGUUCAACUAGCAAUCCGACUUACAAUAUCCAGCAUCCAACUAGCUCCGUUGCAGUGGCCUAUAUUCAAAAUAGAUCAGAGAUCCACUCGAGAGGCCGGAGCAGAUGUGGAUGAGGUGGUGAGGAGGAGCUGCGGAGGAGAUCGCCAUGUGAGAAGAGCAAAACUAGUUUCCCAUUUGCGCGCUUAUGCUAAGUAAUAAUAAUAAAUAAGCGCAGUAGUCUCUGGCUUGCCGUUCGAGAAGUGACCUAAAAAUACUGGUUUCGAGUGCGGUUUUGGCGUGAGAACGAGCAGCACAGCGAAGGCACCACCACCAGCAAUGGCCACCACAGCCGCCGGAUCAGCAGCCACCACCACCAACACGGUGGUGGUGAAGCGGCCAGGACCACCAGUGCCGCCCAGGCCCAAAGCAGCAGCACAGUUGGCCAAUGGAGCAGGAGCCCCUCCGAUCAUCCAGAAGAAGCCCACCUUCGUGAGCCAGCUGAGUGCAGUGGGUCGUACCUUGGUCUACAAGUCGCCAACGGUCAAUCUGCCCAAGAAACAGGCCCAGACACAGACGCCCACCACGGCGGUGCCAACGCCGCCGGUGAAGCCCCUGAAGCUGCGCAAGGCACCGGAUGUGCCCACGGCCAAGCCCAGGGAUUCAAUGACCUCGGUGGUCACGGUCAACCGGCAUAACUCGAUAAGCGUGAUCGGGAGCACGCCACAGACCACGCCCCGCAAGGACACCCGCUUGAGCCUGGGAAAGGUGGACUUCGAGAGGGCGGGCCUCCAGCCGGCCAGUCAGCCGCUUCCCAGGCCACGGAAAAUUGUCCAAGUGCCCGUGGCCACUCUGGAUGUGGAAGACAUUCCAGUGGUGGCUCCCAGCCCAUCAUCAAAUGGGCUCUUCAGGCGAUCAAAGACCACCCUGGAUGGCAGCCAGAAGGAUCCGGCAUCCUCCCCGCAUAAUGGAGGAGGAUUCCUAUCCGGGCGGACAGUGGAGAUCAAGAACAAUCUGAAGAACGCCGCCGAGCGUCUGUUCUCGGAGAUAAUCAUCAACCAGAGCCAGAAGCAGGCCGCCGCCGACACCACCAUCAUAACCAAGCACGAGGCCCUGAAGCAGGAGUCCGAUGUCCUGGCCAUCCAGUCAUCGGGCAACUGCAUGAGGAUCAAUGUGAACGGCGGCCAGACCAGCACCAUGAAGAGCUCGAUCAGCGUGGGCAACACGCCGCAAAAGAAGCAGGCCUUCCACGAGAUGCUCAUCUCGGAGCUGGCUGCCAUGCGGAAUAAGUCCUGCUCCCUGGAGCAGCUGCCCACCGCCAAGUCCCUCUCGCCCCCACCCACCACUUCCACGCCCAAAAGCGUGGCAUCUCGCAGGCGCUACAACUCCAUAGAUGAUGCCGACACCGAGGACGUGGAUGCGGACAACGUGGAGGAUGCCGAUGGCGACGUCGACGAGGAGGACACGCUCACCUACGCGGUCAACAAAUCGCUGAAGGAGAACAUCGGCAAGGAGGGCUCGUCCUCGAGGAAGCGCUGCCCCUCGGGCUGCUCCACGGACUCCUCGCCCUACGGAACCGAGCGAUCCCAGCGCAUCCGCACCUCGGAUUGGAUCGAGGUGGGCGACAACGGCACGGCAGUCACUCUGACCAGCUGCCACAUCAGCCUGGAGGACUCGGGCAUGGAGGACGAGGAGCGGCUGGACGACAUGUCCUCGGGAGUGGGCGACAGCUGGGACAGCGUCAAGGAGGCCGAGAGCGAGAAGCGUUCUCGCAACGGAAAGCGUGGAAACUCGGCUUGCGAGCUGCCCCCGCUGCCGAAAUCUCUGAUCGGCUUCAACAAGUUAUUGUGCUCCGAUUCGGGACUCCUGAGCGAUGUGGAAGGAAACAACAACAGCAGCGAUGGCAGCCGAAAACCAAACGACACUCUUGCAGGGGAGACACAGGAUACCAAGGAGCAUGCCACCGAUAAGUCACUGCCCUCCUCGCCGAACGGAAACACAUCCACACCACCAAUGCUGGUGGCCAAAUCCGAGGCCAAGUCCCCCAGCUUAUCCGCCAAAGGAAACCCCCAGGCGGUCGAGGCGGGCAGCACUCUGGAUGCCCAGAUUGCGACGCUGCGGAAGGAAAUGAACGGACUGCGUCAACUAGAUCUCUCGUUGCUGUCACAACUGUGGGUGCUUAACGAAUCGAUCCAAGAGUUCCGCGCCCUGAUCGAGGAUCAGGAGAACGAGGAUGAGGACGACGAGGUGGAGGUGGGAAACGAGCUGGACGAGGAGGGCAACAGCCGGGUGUCCUCGUCCAUCGAGUCGGUGCGAUUGGAGGGCGGUGCGGAUGGCACGUCGAAGCAUCUGGGAACCAUACCAAAGGUCAUAACGACGCAGCCAAAGGUGCUGAGGGACUCACUGGCCACGGCCAGCAAGGACCAGAAGCCGGUGCCCAGGAUGCGGAGUGCCCCGCCACCGCCACCUCCCGCCGUGCUGCAAUCCUCGUCCCUGGAGCGAAAACCGCCGGCCCCGUCACGACCCACAUGAUGUUACCUCUCGGACUUCCUCGCCGGAGUCAGGAUGGUCAUGUGCAAGGCGAUCGUGAGCGAUGUGCCCGCCUCAUCCGCGUCCGCGUCCCUUGGAGGCGAUGCAGCCCCGCUUGGCCGGGACGCGCAGUGCUGUUUGGGCAACCAGAGUGGCCUGGUCCAAGCAUAGUUUUAGUUGAUAUAUCCGAUAAACAAGGUGUACGAGCGAUUACGAGCGAACUGAUCCAAAUUCUGGGUGCACUGGCAGCAGUUCUCGAAGUGCCCCCACAAAGAAUCCCGAUGCGAAGCCUAGAUUAUCUGCUGCUUACCUCAAUAUAGGAAGACCCAACAUAAUAUGUAUAAUUGGUAGAAUUCGUGAGACCAGCCUCUGUGGUUAGGAGUCCUUUGUGAUCUUCAGUUCCUUACUCGUUAAGCUUAGCUGUCAAAUGCAGUGUAUCCUGGAUCGGUCUGCGGAUCCUGUGCAUUUGACCAGUAACAUUUGUAUAUAGCGAUUUUCCCGGCUAGCUGCUGAACAUUUUAUAAACCUAACGAAGAGCAUACAGAAUAAAAAACUUGAAAGAA